CUUUUACUGGGCUUGAUUAGAAGACAUUGGUGGUCGGAGUGUCCGAUUGGUGGAAGAUGGCUAACAGUGUCAAAGAGAGGGAGCAUAUUUGUAAGGAUUUGAUCAAUAAUGUUGUGUCCUCUAGUCGGUUUAGUUACAGAUCUUUUUAAAUUAAAUCUGUUACAUAGUUCUCUUAAUUUUAGUUGAUUGAAGUCCCCAGCUAUAACAAUUCCAGAUGAAGGACGUUCGCGCAAGAGACUAACUAUACAAGUAGUUAAGUAUUCAUUCAUAUCGAUUGCUUGUUCGGCGGAUUGACCAGGGGGUAGUACACAACAGCAGCAACGAUUGUACUGUAAGGUCUAGGGGUUCUGGGGGGUUUUAACAACAACCAUAUCACUUCUUUGUUUUCUUCUUCGAGGUGAGUCAUAUACGCUCUGCUGGUAAACAAUUAUUCACAUAGGCGAUUACCGGGAGACUUUUUAUCGCGACGAAAUAUGUUGUAUUUAUAUUACCGAUCUUAACCGAGGCAUCACCGAUAUCAUCAUUUAGCCAAGAUUCUGUUAUCAUUACCACGGAUGGGUCAUAGAUCUAUACAACAGCAGCUAAUUCGUCUACCUUAUUUGUUAUAUUGGCAUACAUUAAACAAGAGGAAGGACGGAACUGAGGACUUUCCAAUGGGAGGGGGGGGGGUAUUAGUUUUAAUGUUAAUCUGCAGUAAAUUAUUAAAAUUUACACUUCUCUGAGAGGUAUAAUUAUCACUUGUCCGUUGGAUUGCGCCUAAACGAGGGUUCCAAACUGGUCCAAGGUGCGGUUGACCAAUUGUAGGUAAGCUUCCAAGGACUCCGUUUCUCCGAGCUGUAACUCUGACUUUGAUUGGAAAGGUUUCACUUUGUAUGUCGGGUUGAUUUGGCUUGCUCUUGUAUCUGUAUUGUCUGUGGUUGUUCUUGGUUUCGGAAUCCUCCGUUAGCGACCGCUUCGAAAAUUCUUUGAG